AUUGAACGCUGGCGGCAGGCUUAACACAUGCAAGUCGAGCGGAGUGAUGGUGCUUGCACUAUCACUUAGCGGCGGACGGGUGAGUAAUGCUUAGGAAUCUGCCUAUUAGUGGGGGACAACAUCUCGAAAGGGAUGCUAAUACCGCAUACGUCCUACGGGAGAAAGCAGGGGAUCACUUGUGACCUUGCGCUAAUAGAUGAGCCUAAGUCGGAUUAGCUAGUUGGUGGGGUCAAGGCCUACCAAGGCGACGAUGUGUAGCGGGUCUGAGAGGAUGAGCCGCCACACUGGGACUGAGACACGGCCCAGACUCCUACGGGAGGCAGAAGUGGGAAAUAUUGGACAAUGGGGGGAACCCUGAUCCAGCCAUGCCGCGUGUGUGAAGAAGGCCUUAUGGUUGUAAAGCACUUUAAGCGAGGAGGAGGCUCUCUUGGUUAAUACCCAAGAUGAGUGGACGUUACUCGCAGAAUAAGCACCGGCUAACUCUGUGCCAGCCGCCGCCGUAA
rnacentral:rRNA from 1 species